rnacentral:rRNA from 1 species
UACGGGGGGGGCAAGCGUUGUUCGGAAUUACUGGGCGUAAAGGGCUCGUAGGUGGCCAACUAAGUCAGACGUGAAAUCCCUCAGCUUAACUGGGGAACUGCGUCUGAUACUGGAUGGCUUGAGUUUGGGAGAGGGAUGCGGAAUUCCAGGUGUAGCGGUGAAAUGCGUAGAUAUGACCCGGAACACCAAUUGCGAAGGCAGCAGGCUAAACAAAGAUUGACGCUGAGGCUCGAAAGCGUGGGGAUCAAACAGG